GACGAACGCUGGCGGCGUGCUUAACACAUGCAAGUCUAACGGAAAGUCCCUUCUUUUGUGGGGUGCUCGAGUGGCGAACGGAUGAGUAACACGUGAGUAACCUGCCCUUGACUUUGGGCUACCGUCAGUACACUGGGGGUAAUACCGGAUAGGAGCUCCUGCUGCCUGGUGGGGGUUUGAGUGUUUCGGGCGUGGGGGAGGGGCUCGCGGCUUAUCAGCUUGUUGUUGGGGUAGUGGCUUACCAAGUCUUUGACGGGUAGCCGGCCUGAGAGGGUGACCGGCCACAUUGGGACGGAGGUGAGGCCGAGAAGCCUACGGGAGGCAGCAGUGGGGAAUAAUGCACCAUGGGCGGAAGCCGGAUGCAGCAACGCCGCGUGCGGGAUGACGGACUUCGGGUUGUAGUCCGCUGUCGCCUGUGAAGAAGAGUGAGUGACGGUAAUGGGUAAAGAAGCACCGGCUAACUACGUG
rnacentral:rRNA from 1 species